rnacentral:rRNA from 1 species
CACGUAGGCACCAAGCGUUGUCCGGAUUUAUUGGGCGUAAAGAGCUCGUAGGCGGUUCAGUAAGUCGGGUGUGAAAACUCUGGGCUCAACCCAGAGACGCCACCCGAUACUGCUGUGACUUGAGUACGGUAGGGGAGUGGGGAAUUCCCGGUGUAGCGGUGAAAUGCGCAGAUAUCGGGAGGAACACCGGUGGCGAAGGCGGUUCUCUGGGCCUUACCUGACGCUGAGGAGCGAAAGCGUGGGGAGCGAACAGG